rnacentral:rRNA from 1 species
UACCUGGUUGAUUCUGCCAGUAGUCAUAUGCUUGUCUCAAAGAUUAAGCCAUGCAUGUCUAAGUAUAAGCAAUUAUACCGCGAAACUGCGAAUGGCUCAUUAUAUAAGUUAUCGUUUAUUUGAUAGCACAUUACUACAUGGAUAACUGUGGUAAUUCUAGAGCUAAUACAUGCUAAAAAUCCCGACUUCGGAAGGGAUGUAUUUAUUAGAUUAAAAGCCAACGCCCUUCGGGGCUUCCUGGUGAUUCAUAAUAACUUUUCGAAUCGCAUGGCCUUGCGCCGGCGAUGGUUCAUUCAAAUUUCUUCCCUAUCAACUUUCGAUGCGAAGG